UUGGGACUUUUCUCUUUAUUUCAACCCCGAAUUGUAAUUACAAAAAUAAAAGGAGUGAUAGCUUCCAUCUUAAAAUAUACUUCCAUACAUCUUGAAUUAUCCCAAAUAGAUACAUCUACAAAAUGUAACAAAAAAUUCAAAUUUUAGUCGAAACCUUAACCUUAGACGAGCGCUAGUGCUAUUAUAAUUACAAAAUUCAAAAGGUCUAUACAUAAAUCCAGCUCAUCCUAGUCAUACGAUCGUGUUCGCACCCCAUGUAAGGAAAACAAAACUAAUGUGAUAAGUUACAGCUCAGUGAGGUUCCAAAUAUUAUGCAACAAAUAUCAGUCUCAGAACAAGUAGAAACGAAACCAGGCAAACCAAAAACAAAUAGCAUUUCAAGUGGAAGGAUAAAUUAUUCUCGCUUGAGCCAUUUAACUCGCCAUUGUUAACACUCCGUCAACCUUAGAAUACCUUAUUAGGAUCAAGUAAAUCACUACUUCACGCCAUCUCCGUCCACCGAUCAUUCCCCUUACCGGGCUCGCACGCCAGUCAAAUACAUGUAGGGUAAUAUUCAAGUAUACCAUGAUCAUAACAAGACAAGAUACAGGACCCAUGGUUCAUCGAUCAUCUCAGCCAAACUCUUGUUGACUCGAUUUGACCAACUAGCUGAUGGAGAUGGGAUCCUAAAGUAAGUCUAGUCAACGAGAUAAUACUCCAAUCGACUUUCAAGUCAUGCACAAGUAUAUCAUAUCACAAGUGAAUAAGUCUGCACGAAUUCAAGCAAGUGGAGUCGAGUGCGAUAAAGUACACACUCUCCAUUUUCAAUGGCAAGUCAAGACAUCUAGUAAGCCCAACAAUAAGUUACAUAGUUCAAGUCAUACAAUUGAAACACUCACCAAAUUAUUUACUGCUUAUCAAUGUUACGCGUAGGCCCUGCACCCUGGUUACUCCCGAAAUCUACAAGUGAAUAUCACAUAGUAAGAUGCAAUCAAUAGGGUUUCAAAAUGCCCAACUUAUCUUGUCAAUAUCAAAUGAAAGAUUCAUAUAAAAAUAACCCAUAAAACUUAGCAAAACAUAGGUGAGGUAUAUUCACAACUUUGGAGGAAAACCAAUUAUAGUUUUCAAGUUAUAAUUUGAUACAAGUUACUAGAAACCAUCAUUUUCCUUCCUUAUGUAAAUGCAUGAUUUUGGUACAAAGAAAAUCCAGCUUAUGACUCAAACAAGGCAAAUUCAAGCAACUUUAAAUGAGAUUAGGCCAAACCAAUCUAAAUACAUGCCACAUCCCUCAUUUUUACUCACCUACACUAUAUGAAUGAAAACGGACAGCACCUUUCCUUGUUUUGCCUUAACUUUUCCCUCCAAUUUCAAAGCUACACUCCCUGGCCAAACAACCCAAGUCAAAUCCACAAGUUAUAAGGAAAAAGGGGUUCUUAUCCUAGGCCAUUAAACUCACUAAAUUAGACAUAUACAUAACAUAUAUCCAUCAUAUAUUCAAGUUGGCAAAUUAAAUCCUAGGCUGGAAAUUUACAAGUAAAGUUGAAAAAACCUAUUUUGAAUCUAAAAAUUCAUACUAAAGUUAGAAAUCUUCAUAUCAUAACUCCCAUGUGCAUAACAAAGUUAGAUACUGUCAUUUCAUUAUUUGAAAAUAAUGUAUCAGCUGAAUAUAAUCAACAAAAGCUGGAAAUGGCAGCCUACUUCACAAAACUAUAAAAAUCUUUCCCCGACAUACUACAAUCAAGUCAUAUUUCCUACCAAAUGCAAGAUUAAAGAGGAAGAGUGGUUCCUUACCAAGAAAACCUGCAAUUCCUAAGGUGACAGCCUAUAGCUUUCUUUCCCAAAAUCCAUAUCACACAAAGUUCCUUCUUUCCUUGUUGCUCCCUUCUAUGGAUUGGUUUAAGAUUUGAGGUUGAUUUCUUACUAGUUCUAACUUGGAAUCAAGGUGAAGUUGAGGAAGUUUUUCUCUCUUUUCUUGUCUCUCUCUCG
rnacentral:lncRNA from 1 species